rnacentral:rRNA from 1 species
GACGAACGCUGGCGGCGUGCCUAAUACAUGCAAGUCGAACGCACUCUCGUUUAGAUUGAAGGAGCUUGCUCCUGAUUGAUAAACAUUUGAGUGAGUGGCGGACGGGUGAGUAACACGUGGGUAACCUGCCCUAAAGUGGGGGAUAACACUUGGAAACAGAUGCUAAUACCGCAUAAAACCCAACACCGCAUGGUGUAGGGUUGAAAGAUGGUUUCGGCUAUCACUUUAGGAUGGACCCGCGGUGCAUUAGUUAGUGGUGAGGUAAAGGCUCACCAAGACCGUGAUGCAUAGCCGACCUGAGAGGGUAAUCGGCCACACUGGGACUGAGACACGGCCCAGACUCCUACGGGAGGCAGCAGUAGGGAAUCUUCCACAAUGGACGAAAGUCUGAUGGAGCAACGCCGCGUGAGUGAAGAAGGUUUUCGGAUCGUAAAACUCUGUUGUUGGAGAAGAAUGUAUCUGAUAGUAACUGAUCAGGUAGUGACGGUAUCCAACCAGAAAGCCACGG